rnacentral:rRNA from 1 species
AAGUCAGUGACCCAACCACAACGUGAACUUCGUUCGCGUGGAGGGAGCUGCCGAAGGUGGAGCCGGUAACUGGGUGAAGUCGUAACAAGGUAGC